AAAAAGAUAAGCUAAUUUAAGCUAUUAGGUUCAUACCCUAAUUAUAAAGAAACAAAAAUCUUUUCUUUUUA